rnacentral:rRNA from 1 species
GCAAGACGGAAAGACCCCGUGAACCUUUACUAUAGCUUGACACUGAACAUUGAGCCUUGAUGUGUAGGAUAGGUGGGAGGCUUUGAAGCGUGGACGCCAGUCUGCGUGGAGCCAACCUUGAAAUACCACCCUUUAAUGUUUGAUGUUCUAACGUGGGCCCCUUAUCGGGGUUGCGGACAGUGUCUGGUGGGUAGUUUGACUGGGGCGGUCUCCUCCCAAAGCGUAACGGAGGAGCACGAAGGUUAGCUAAUCCUGGUCGGACAUCAGGAGGUUAGUGCAAUGGCAUAAGCUAGCUUGACUGCGAGCGUGACGGCGCG